rnacentral:rRNA from 1 species
AUGGGUUCCCUGCGGAGCAGCACAAGCACGGCGGUGGAGAGCGUGGACGCAGAGGCGGCGUGCGGGCUGCUGGCCUUGGAGCAGUACGGGUACGUGGACGUGCGGAUGUGGGAGGACUUCGAAAAGGGCCAUGUUGCCGGUGCACGCAACGUGCCCUACUACCACUCAGUCACGCCCCAUGGCAAGGAGCGCAACCCGGACUUCGUCGACCAGGUUGCUGCGCUCCACUCAAAGGAGGACCGGUUCCUUGUUGGCUGCCGCUCUGGGGUCCGGUCCAGGCUCGCCACCGCAGACCUCGUCGCUGCUGGGUUCAUGAACGUGAAGAACCUGGAAGGUGGUUACCUCUCCUUGCUCAAGAGUACCAGUUACCCACAGCCCCAAGCAGCCAGCCACCAAUGA